AAGCCAGUCAGUUAGUUUGCUUAUAUGAAUGUGUUUCUGCAGAAAGUUUGAAAAAUCUGCCAAUAGUGAUGGCAUUUUGUAAGUUUAAGGACAACUGAGGUCCUUAUGGUCCCUGAAAAUGGCUACAAUA